AAAGAGCAGUGUGUUCCUAAGUCUAAGUUUUUGUUUCUUCAGUUUCUUCUGGGAGAUCUUUUUCUUCUAUCCAACCUCCUCUUCUGGUUUAGG